rnacentral:rRNA from 1 species
AGAGUUUGAUCAUGGCUCAGAAUCAACGCUGGCGGCGUGCCUAACACAUGCAAGUCGAACGAGAAAGCGGGGGCAACUCCGCGAGUACAGUGGCGAACGGGUGAGUAACACGUGACUAACCUGCCUUCGAGCGGGGGAUAACCCCGGGAAACCGGGGCUAAUACCGCAUAACAUCCCAGGAUGAAAUUCCCUGUGAUCAAAUGCGCAAGCAGCUUGAAGAGGGGGUCGCGCCUGAUUAGCUAGUUGGUGAGGUAACGGCUCACCAAGGCGAUGAUCAGUAGCCGGCCUGAGAGGGCGCACGGCCACACUGGAACUGAAACACGGUCCAGACUCCUACGGGAGGCAGCAGUGGGGAAUUUUGCGCAAUGGGGGAAACCCUGACGCAGCAACGCCGCGUGGAGGAUGAAGUCCCUUGGGACGUAAACUCCUUUCGACCGGGACGAAUAUUGACGGUACCGGUGGAAGAAGCCCCGGCUAACUUCGUGCCAGCCGCCGCGGUAAUAC